rnacentral:rRNA from 1 species
ACGGAGGAUGCGAGCGUUAUCCGGAUUUAUUAGGUAUAAAGGGUGCGUAGGCGGAUUUGUAAGUCAGCGGUGAAAUACUAUGGCUUAACUGUAGAAAUGCCGUUGAUACUGCAAGUCUUGAGUACAAUUGAGGUAGGCGGAAUGUGUGGUGUAGCGGUGAAAUGCUUAGAUAUCACACAGAACACCGAUUGCGAAGGCAGCUUACUAAACUGUAACUGACGCUGAUGCACGAAAGCAUGGGGAGCAAACAG